CUCCAGACUCCUACGGGAGGCAGCAGUGAGGAAUAUUGGUCAAUGGUCGGGAGACUGAACCAGCCAAGCCGCGUGAGGGAGGAAGGUACAGAGUAUCGUAAACCUCUUUUGUCAGGGAACAAAGACUGGGACGCGUCCCCGGAUGAGUGUACCUGAAGAAAAAGCAUCGGCUAACUCCGUGCCAGCAGCCGCGGUAAUACGGAGGAUGCGAGCGUUAUCCGGAUUUAUUGGGUUUAAAGGGUGCGUAGGCGGGCUGUUAAGUCAGCGGUCAAAUGUCGGGGCCCAACCCCGGCCUGCCGUUGAAACUGGCGACCUCGAGUGGGCGAGAAGUAUGCGGAAUGCGUGGUGUAGCGGUGAAAUGCAUAGAUAUCACGCAGAACUCCGAUUGCGAAGGCAGCAUACCGGCGCCCUACUGACGCUGAGGCACGAAAGCGUGGGUAUCGAACAGGAUUAGAUACCCCCGUAG
rnacentral:rRNA from 1 species